rnacentral:rRNA from 1 species
GACGAACCGUGCGAACGUUGUUCGGAUUCACUGGGCUUAAAGGGCGCGUAGGCGGGUGCUCAAGUCGGUGGUGAAAGCCCGCAGCUCAACUGCGGAAGUGCCGCCGAUACUGGGCGCCUGGAGGGAGGUAGGGGUGCGUGGAACUUCCGGUGGAGCGGUGAAAUGCGUAGAUAUGUGGAGGAAUACCGAUGGCGAAGGCAGCCCCCUGGGUCAAUACUGACGCUCAUGCACGAAAGCGUGGGGAGCAAACAGG